UAAUAAGUGUUUUAUGGCACUUUUUAAAUCCAUAUCCACCUUGUGUGCAAUGUCGGUCGAUCUUCUUCAUGGAGAUCGACCAAACAUCAACCUUUAUCUUUUAACUCUUUGUCUGAAGAAUAUUAUGAAUAAACAAUUCAAAAUA
rnacentral:misc_RNA from 1 species